ACACUCUGUUUAACAAGCUGUUAAUUUCUUUGAUUUGGAGGAGGCCAAGGUAGCAAUUACUCAGGCACCAAAAUCUGGAAAUCCCCACACCAGCAGGUUCCUUGCACUCCGCUUCCUCGUUGGCUGGAGAGAAUUUGUUUCCAAGGAUUGUAGACCACAGCAAGGCUUCCUCAGGCUUGCAUACCAGGGUAUGCAGUGUCUACGGCCACUAUUUCAAAGAUUAGAGUUGACGCAGCAAGGUGGUAAGAGAGGCAAGAGGGAGGCACCUGCAAGCUUCAAGAGCAGCUGGAGGAAGAGUAAAUUAGAGUCCCAGCCACCCCCACAUCUAUCUUCUACACCUGCUCCUUCAUUUUCCUUUCUCUGGAGGGCUGAGAGAGAUUUACUGGUCAAAAGGAAGAGCUCCUCACUUCGGGUUCAGGAAUCUUACUGAAGGAAAUGAAAUGGUCACAGAAAGAAGAGUCACUCGGGUAAUUUGGGAUGUUAUGAAGGAGGCUCUGCGUCUCUGAACUGUUGUCAGGCCCCACCAGGCUCUUCACUGUUUGGAGCCAGAUCUACGGAGCCAAACUGCCUUGACCUGCUUUCUGAGGAGGGGACAGGCAGCAAGUGCCGGACCUAGCCAGAUUCAGCCCGCAGAAGGUGUUCCAGACUCCAAGCAGCCUGCUGGCCUAGCUCCAGGCCCAGGUGGCUGCAGACUCCACAAUGGGUGACUCAGAUGAGAUCAUCUAGUUGCAGGAAAACAAGCUGCAGGUUCCCACUGACUCUAUAUUAUGUUCGGUGAUCAAGUUCAUCUUCAAGCAAGUGUAGGAGAAGACUGAUCUUGUCUUCUGUCAAGCACUACAAGGGAGCCAAGUAAAAAACUUCGUUUCAACCACCAUAAAAAGAAAAAUUACACAUUAUAACAUACCUAGAUGGUACAAGCCGAAAAUCAGGAAGGAAAUUACAAACAUGAAGAUACUUCUCUUCACAGAGAACAAAAUACUUCCAGGGACAGGGCUAUAGUAUCACACAGAAGCUUUCUGAAUUGCCCUGAAUCUGCUGACUGAGAAAGAUGGAGUCUCCCUGGAACUGCCAAAACUCUUGUUAGUACUAAAUUGUUCAAUUUACCAGCUGCAGAUUUUCCCUGAAACCUGCAAACUUCAAACCCAAAUAGUGAAGACAAAUUACUGCUUAUGUCUUAGCCUGACACUAAAUUUACUUAAACAUUAAAGAGGCCAGGCGUGGUGGCUCACGCCUGUAAUCCCAGCACUUUGGGAGGCCGAGGCAGGUGGAUCACAAGGUCAGGAGAUCGAGACCAUCCUGGCUAACAUGGUGAAACCCCGUCUCUACUAAAAAUACAAAAAAAUUGGCCGGGCGUGGUGGCGGGCACCUGUAGUCCCAGCUACCCUGGAGGCUGAGGCAGGAGAAUAGCGUGAACCUGGGAGGCGGAGCUUGCAGUGAGCUGAGAUUGCACCACUGCACUCCAGCCUGGGCGAAUGAGCAAGACUCCGUAUCAAAAAAAAAAAAAAAAAAAA
ensembl:lncRNA UBE2H-DT UBE2H divergent transcript